AUAAUAUAUAACAACAAUAUUUCGUAUGCUUUUUACAAAACAAAAUUAAUAUUUAUAUAAACGAAAAAAUGGAAUAGGAAACUGAUGUGAUGUACAGCGAUGGACAUUAAAGUGUAUGACCGCACAAUAUAAGUAGUCGAGCUUAGUUUAAUGUUGGUAACCAUGGUAUCUGGAUGCAUUCAUUUCACCUUUUCUCUGCUUGAAUUUAU
rnacentral:lncRNA from 1 species